rnacentral:rRNA from 1 species
AUUGAACGCUGGCGGCAUGCCUUACACAUGCAAGUCGAACGGCAGCACGGGUGCUUGCACCUGGUGGCGAGUGGCGAACGGGUGAGUAAUAUAUCGGAACGUACCUUAUUGUGGGGGAUAACGCAGCGAAAGCUGUGCUAAUACCGCAUAAUCCCUACGGGGGAAAGCGGGGGACCGUAAGGCCUCGCGCAAUUAGAGCGGCCGAUACCUGAUUAGCUAGUUGGUGAGGUAAAGGCUCACCAAGGCAACGAUCAGUAGCUGGUCUGAGAGGACGAUCAGCCGCACUGGGACUGAGACACGGCCCAGACUCCUACGGGAGGCAGCAGCGGGGAAUUUUGGACAAUGGGGGCAACCCUGAUCCAGCAAUGCCGCGUGAGUGAAGAAGGCCUUCGGGUUGUAAAGCUCUUUUGUCAGGGAAGAAACAGCAGCUCUAACACAGUAUGCGAAUGACGGUACCUGAAGAAUAAGCACCGGCUAACUACGUGCCAGCCGCCGCAGUAA